UACGUAGGCAGCGAGCGUUAUUCGGAGUUACUGGGCGUAAAGGGUGUGUAGGCGGUUGUUUAAGUUUGGUGUGAAAUCUCCCGGCUCAACUGGGAGGGUGCGCCGAAUACUGAAUGACUUGGAGUGCGGGAGAGGUGAGUGGAAUUCCUGGUGUAGCGGUGAAAUGCGUAGAUAUCAGGAGGAACACCGGUGGUGUAGACGGCUCACUGGACCGUAACUGACGCUGAGACACGAAAGCGUGGGUAGCAAACAGG
rnacentral:rRNA from 1 species